UACAGAGGUCCCGAGCGUUGUUCGGAUUUAUUGGGCGUAAAGGGUGCGUAGGUGGCAAAGUAAGUUGGAUGUGAAAUCCUGGGGCUUAACCUCAGAAUUGCAUUCAAUACUGCUUAGCUAGAGAGCUGUAGAGGAGACUGGAAUUUACGGUGCAGCAGUGAAAUGCGUAGAUAUCGUAAGGAACGCCAGUGGCGAAAGCGAGUCUCUGGGCAGCAUCUGACACUGAGGCACGAAGGCCAGGGGAGCAAACGGG
rnacentral:rRNA from 1 species